UACGUAGGGUGCAAGCGUUAAUCGGAAUUACUGGGCGUAAAGCGUGCGAAGGCGGUUGUGUAAGUCUGAUGUGAAAUCCCCGGGCUCAACCUGGGAAUUGCAUUUGAGACUGCACGGCUAGAGUGUGUCAGAGGGGGGUAGAAUUCCACGUGUAGCAGUGAAAUGCGUAGAGAUGUGGGGGAAUACCGAUGGCGAAGGCAGCCCCCUGGGAUAACACUGACGCUCAUGCACGAAAGCGUGGGGAGCAAACAGG
rnacentral:rRNA from 1 species